GACGAACGCUGGCGGCGUGCUUAACACAUGCAAGUCGAGCGGAGCGGCGAACGGGUGAGUAACGCGGGAGUAACUGCCCCCCGCUCUGGGAUAACAGAUGGAAACGGGUGCUAAUACCGGAUAGCGGGGGAUGACUCGGGUCCUAUGAGCUUGCUGGGUGGGUAGGGGCAUACCAAGCGGAGGAGUGGUCCCCGGCCUGGGAGGGGGACCGGACACCGUGGGCUGAGAGACGGACCAAACUCCUACGGGGGGCAGCGGUGGGAAAUCUUGCACAAUGGGGGAAACCCUGAGGCAGCAGCCCGCGUGCGUGAUGUCCGCCUUCGGGUUGUAAACCGCUUUCAGCCAUGACGCGGUAGUGGCAGAAGAAGCACCGGCUAACUACGUGCCAGCCGCCGCGGUAAUAC
rnacentral:rRNA from 1 species